GGCUCAGUAACACGUCGAUAAUCUGCCCUGAGGUCAGGGAAAGCCUUGGGAAACUGAGGGUAAACCCUGAUAGGGGAAGAGUUCUGCAAUGAACCUUCCUGCAAAAGCAAUGCCUCAGGAUGGGUCGGCGGCAGAUUAGGUUGUUGGCGGGGUAACGGCCCACCAAGCCAAAGAUCUGUAGGGGCUCUGAGAGGAGUUGCCCCGAGAAGGGCACUGAGAUACUGGCCCUAGCCCUACGGGGUGCAGCAGGCGCGAAAACUCUGCAAUGCACGCAAGUGUGACAGGGGAAUCCGAAGUGCUUAGUUUACUAGGCUUUUGCCAAGCUUAAAGCGUUUGGCGAAUAAGGGGUGGGAAAGACUGGUGCCAGCCGCCGCGGUAACACCAGCGCCCCAAGUGGGGGUCUCGCUUAUUGGGUCUAAAGCGUCCGUAGCUGGCUUGUUAAAUUUCUUGUGAAAUUGUCCGGCUCAACCGGGCAGCGUGCAGGGAAGACUGGCAAGCUGGGGACCGGGAAGGGUCAGAGGUAUGCCGGGGGGAGCGGUAAAAUGCUAUAAUCCCCGGGUAGAACCACUGUGGCGAAGGCGUCUGACUAGAACGGGUCCGACAGUGAGGGACGAAAGCCAGGGGACAAAACCGGAUUAGAUACCCGAGUAGUCCUGGCCGUAAACGCUGCGAGCUAGGUGUCGCGCAUUCUCCGUGAAUGCGCGGUGUCGGAGCGAAGGUGUUAAGCUCGCCACCUGGGAAGUACGGUCGCAAGACUGAAACUUAAAGGAAUAGGCGGGGGAGCACUACAAGGGGUGCGGCGUGCGGUUUAAUUCAACUCCACCCGGGGAAUCUCACCAGGGGCGACGGCAGGAUGAAGGUCAGUCUAACGGGCUUACCUGACGAGCCGAGAGGUAGUGCAUGGCCGCCGUCAGCUCGUGCCGUAAGGUGUCUUGUUAAGUCAAGCAACGAGCGAGACCUGUAUCCACAAUUGCGAACGACCCAAUCUGGGAAUCGUGCACAUUGUGGGGACUGCCUUGGAAACAAGGAGGAAGGUGCAGGCAACGGUAGGUCUGUAUGCUCCGAAUCUUCUGGGCUACACGCGCGCAACAAUGGUGCAGACAGUGGGAUGCAACUCCGAAAGGAGAAGCGAAUCCUCGAAACUGCAUCGUAGUUCGGAUUGAGGG
rnacentral:rRNA from 1 species